GACUUAUCAAGAGUGGUGGAGGGACUGGCCCGAAGAAACCCAGCAACCGAUAUAUUUGAAAAUAUAUAAGGUGCUAAAUCCUGCAGCGUAAGAGCUGAUAGAUAAGGU
rnacentral:ncRNA from 2 species